AAAUCGUAACAAGGUUUCCGUAGGUGAACCUGCGGAAGGAUCAUUACCGAGUGCGGGCCCUCGUGGCCCAACCUCCCACCCUUGUCUCUCUACACCUGUUGCUUUGGCGGGCCCACUGGGGCUCCCUGGUCGCCGGGGGACGCCUGUCCCCGGGCCCGCGCCCGCCGAAGCGCUUCGUGAACCCUGAUGAAGAAGGGCUGUCUGAGUACUAUGAAAAUUGUCAAAACUUUCAACAAUGGAUCUCUUGGUUCCGGCAUCGAUGAAGAACGCAGCGAAAUGCGAUAAGUAAUGUGAAUUGCAGAAUUCCGUGAAUCAUCGAAUCUUUGAACGCACAUUGCGCCCCCUGGCAUUCCGGGAGGCAUGCCUGUCCGAGCGUCAUUUCUGCCCUCAAGCACGGCUUGUGUGUUGGGUGUGGUCCCCCCGGGGACCUGCCCGAAAGGCAGCGGCGACGUCCGUCUGGUCCUCGAGCGUAUGGGGCUCUGUCACUCGCUCGGGAGGGACCUGCGGGGGUUGGUCACCACCACAUUUUCUAUUAUGGUUGACCUCGGAUCAGGUAGGAGUUACCCGCUGAACUUAAGCAUAUCAAUAAGCGGAGGAAAAGAAACCAACCGGGAUUGCCUCAGUAACGGCGAGUGAAGCGGCAAGAGCUCAAAUUUGAAAUCUGGCCCUUUGAGGGUCCGAGUUGUAAUUUGCAGAGGAUGCUUCGGGUGCGGUCCCCAUCUAAGUGCCCUGGAACGGGCCGUCAUAGAGGGUGAGAAUCCCGUCUGGGAUGGGCGGCCGUGCCCGUGUGAAGCUCCUUCGACGAGUCGAGUUGUUUGGGAAUGCAGCUCUAAGUGGGUGGUAAAUUUCAUCUAAAGCUAAAUACUGGCCGGAGACCGAUAGCGCACAAGUAGAGUGAUCGAAAGAUGAAAAGCACUUUGAAAAGAGAGUUAAACAGCACGUGAAAUUGUUGAAAGGGAAGCGUUGUCCACCAGACUCGCCCGGGGG
rnacentral:sRNA from 1 species